rnacentral:lncRNA from 12 species
UGAGAACAUAGAGUGGUCCCAGUUGGUUGCAGCCUGCACUAGUUAGUGACCUGAAUUUAUGAAUUUGUCAAGGUGGCUAUCUUCUUGUACUCUUAUUAGAGGUAAACAUUUGAAUGGGAAUAGCUAACUGAAAAGGUGGAGACCAUUUGGACAGGUGGGCAAGGCCAAUCCUAUCUCCAGCCUGUGACUGAACCUCAAGAAACAGCUUCAAGGUCUCACACCUUCAAAAAUAAGUCUUUUAAGAAAUCCAGCGUCUGUGGAAUUUGCAAACAAGUAAUUGAUAGCCAAGGAAUUUCCUGCAGAGACAGAAUAAGGCAGUGCCUGUGGAGGAUCUGUGAGGGGCAUAUGAGUGACGUGUACCCAGUGGAUGACACAUGGCUCUGGAAUUCAAAUCAGGAAGUGUGUGACCCUUGCUCCCUGAGGCAUGAAGGAUUUAUCUAUGUUAAUUUGCAAAAAAAAAUAAAUCACAAAAGUAGCUGUCUAUUUACUUU